ensembl:lncRNA
AUGGGCUUUAAAUUCAUAUACAAGUUUACACAAAAUGUUUUGCACUCAUUUAUGGUAUUUUUUUGCAGGGGAUGGGAACAUUGCAACAUAUGUAUCCUUCUGGAGAGGAAAAGCAUUACCUAUCAGUCUGAAGAGGAGCACUGUUUAAGGAGCCAAAAGGUGUGCUUUUUAGAGAUAUCUCUUCCCAGGCAAUGAUUCACACUAUCACUUCCUCCACAUUACUCAGACAGAGAGAGCAAAAAGAGUUUGGGCAGCUGUUGUAUCUGUGACUUUUGCUGAAGUAAGGUGAGUAUUUUCCUUUUUUUUUUUUUUUUUUUUUUUUUUGGACAAAAGAGUUAAUAUUUAUUGAUCAACUGUUAUUUGCCAGGUAUGUUCUAAAAGCCAUCAGGUAUAAUAUAUAACUUACUUCUCUCAAUAUUAAUAAUUAGGGAUAAUUACUGAAUCAUCUACAUUCUUUUUUAAAAUAUUAUUUUCCAUCAUGGUCUGUUGCAGGAGAUUGGAUAUAGUUCUCUGUGCUACAUACUAGGAAUCUAUUGUCUACUCAUUCUAAAUGUAAUAGUUUGUACCUGUUAACCCCAAGCUCCCAGUCCAUCCCACUUCCUCCCACCUCUCCCUUUGGCAACCGUAAGUCUCUUCUCCUUGUCUCUGCGUCUUUUUCUGUUUUAUAGAUAGAUCAUUUGUGCCAUAUUUUAGAUUCCACAUAUAAAUGAUACCACAUGGUAUUUGUCUUUAUCUUUCUGGCUUAACUUCAGUUAGUAUGAGAAUCUCUAGUUGUACCUAUAUUGCUGCAAAUGGCAUUACUGUUUAGGUCUUCUGCCCAUUUUUUGAUUGGGUUUUUGCUUUUUUUGUUGUUGAAUUGUAUGAGUUGUUUGUAAAUUUUGGAGAUUAAGCCCUUGUUGGUUGCAUCAUAUGCAGCUGUUUCUUCCAUUCCUUAGGUUGUCUCUUUGGUUUUUUUAUUUUUUAUAAAUUCCUUUGCUGUGCAAAAUAUGUAAGAUUGAUUAGGUCCCAUUGAUUGAUUUUUGUUUUUAUUUCUGUUACCUUGGGAGACUGACCUAAGAAAACAUUUGUAUCAGUUUAUAUCAGAGAAUGCUUUGCCUAUGUUCUCUCCUAGGAGUUGUAUGGUGUCAUGUCUUAUGUUUAUAAAGCAAUUUUGAAUUUAUUUUUGUGCAUGGUGUGAGAAUGUGUUCUGGUUUCA